ACCUUGCUAAUAAAAACAUGAGGGCCAAAUAGCAAGAAAGCGACUGAACUACACCAGAGGUUUGAAACUUGAGUUUUCUCCUUGGCUCUCCCAUCAACUGUCUGCAUGACUGUGGGUACAUCACUUCCCUUCUAUAUUUCACUAUUCUCAUCUAUACAAAAAGCAAUAUACGCACACACCAAGAACACCUAGAGAAGCCUGAUGCAGCUUUCUGCUAAUACCAACUGGAGCCAAACAACUUAAAUUUAUUUAUCUUCCUAUCUGCAUUAGUCAGGGUUCUCCAGAGAAACAGAACCAAGAGGGAGAGAGGGAGAGGAAGAGGAAGAGGGAGAGGGCGAUUGAGAGGGAGAUUGAGAUUGAGAGAGAGAGAGACUGAGAUUGAGAUUGAGAGAGAGAGUGGUGGGGGUGGGGGUAGAUACUGAUAUUUACCUUAAGGAACUGGCUCAUGCAAUUACAGGGACUGACAAAUCCACAAUCUUCAGGGCAUGCUGGUGACCAAGGGAAGAGUUGAUGUUGCAGUCUUUUUUUUUUUUUUUUUGAGACAGAGUCUCACUCUGUCGCCCAGGCUAGAGUGCAGUUACAUGAUCUCAGCUCACUGCAACCUCUGCCUCCUGGGUUCAAGUGAUUCUCAUGCCGCAGCCUCCCAAGUAGCUGGGACUACAGGCGCCUGCCACCAUGCCCAACUAAUUUUUGUGUUUUUAAAUAGAGACAGGUUUUUGCCAUGUUGGCCAGGCUGGUCUUGAACUCCUGAUCUCAAGCGAUCCACCCAUCUCAGCCUCCCAAAGUGCUGGGAUUACAGGCGUGAGCCACCGUGCCAGGCCGAUGUUGCAGUCUUGAGUCUGAAGGGAGACUGGAGACAGAGUUCCUUCUUCUUUAGGGACUUCAAUCUUUUUCUCUUAAGGCCUUCAACUGAUGAUAUAUGAGGCCUACAUACAUUACAAAGGAUAAUCUGCUUCACUCCUUCUACUGAUAUAAAUGUUAAACCUCAUCUAAAAAACUACCUGCACAGCGACAUCUAGACUGGUGCUUGACCAAGUAUCUGGGUACUGUGGCCUCGCCAAGCUGAUACAUACAAUUAGCCAUUACACCAUCCUUUCAGAAGGGGUGAUGCCCACACCGAAGGAAAAAACCUCUAGACUCCACAGCCAUUUAAUCUUCUAUUGGAGACCAUAAUCGAGGCAAGGAAUUCAGAUGAGGCUACUCUUUUCUUCACAGGUGAAUUCCAAGCGUCUCACAGCUUCCAGGGCAUUUCUUGUUCUGGUUCCUGCUCACCUGUCUUAUCUCCUUGCUCUUCCCUCCAUUCCAGCCACACGUGGUUUUUGGUUUAAAGACACUGUGUUCUUAUCUUGCUCUGCCUGAGUACGCGCUACUUCCACGGCCUGGGGUAUGCUGUUUUCCCACUUUUUAACUGGGUCCUCAUCAUUUGAGUCUCAUGUUGAGAACCACAACUGCCUCUAGAGAGCUUCCCUGACCUGACAAGGUUAGGCCAGUAAGUUCCCACAGCCAAUCUGCACACCUCCUGCCUUACACUCAAGCCACGCCAUCAGGGCUCCCUCCCAGCCUGGCAGCUCCGUGAAGGACACACCUCUCUUGUUGGUCACAGCAUUCAUGCUGCCAAGCUGGUCCACGAAGACACAACAAAUAGCUGCUGAAUAAAUAAAUGAGGAUGCAGAUGGUUCUUAAGCCUUGACCUUCAAUCCUCCCAAUGUCCUUGAGAUUCGGCUCCAUGUCUCCAACCACUUGCUGGACACCUGAAGGCGGGAAUCUCACCAGCACCUACACUGAAUAUGCACAGAGUGGACAGAGCUUGUCUUUGCUCUCACGUACGCUGUCUUCCAAGCCUAGUACAGUAGAAAGAACACAGGCUUGGGGGUCAGGGAGGCCUGUACUGAAGUCCCUGUUCUAGAUCCUGUUACAACUGUACAAUUUUAGACCAAUUGCUAAUUUUCUCUGACCCUUAGUUUUCUCGUCUCUGAUAUAAGGAUGAAAAUACCAACCCACAAGAUUAGGAGGAGAUUAAAUGAGAUAAUAGCUAUGCAAUGCCUGGCAGAUGGCAUAGAAAUAAUGAAUGGCACCUGGGUUCAAAGCUCUGGGGGCAUUUUUGCUUCCCAUCGGCCAACCCCUAUUAUCUAGGCAGUUCCUAAAUCCCAUCUCAUAAAUUCAAUUUCUCCAUCUAGUGGCCUCUUCAGGAUGGGGACUCUAGCCACUCAAAUUCUUCCAUUGCUCCCCAGUAACUUAAGUUUAAAUCAUUUAGUCACGUGCCAUUCAAGGCCCUCUGGGUUCUGGCCUCCAAGGACCUUUGCUACCUGAUCUUCUCCUUAGUGGUUUACACACAUCAUUGCCCAGCAACUACAAAUCGAUUCCUGCCCACUCUGCACCCCGGCAUUUCCCAUCCCUACCUAUGCCUUUGCUCAUGUUUCCUUCAACGAGGAUACUCCAAGACCUCAAGUCCAACAUUACCUUUCUUUCAAUGUCUGGCUCAAAGGCUCUUUAUCCAUGAAGCAUUUCUUGAUCAUCCCAGCCACAGAUAAACACACAACCUUUCUUUUCUAUGAACUUGUGGUAUGUUUAUCUCUCUACCUUUUAUACAUUUCUCUUUCUCUCUGCAUUUAUUCUUUGUUUUUCUUUUUUCUAAGACAUCUUGUUAUAGCAUCUCUGCAUUUAUUCUAAUUUUAUCUGUGCACAGAACCUUAGCUUCAAGCUCCUUGAAGGGUAGCAUCGUGUCCCAGCCUACACUGUCACACUCAGGAGAAGCACCCAGUAGAUGGUGGCUCUGUAUCUACCUACAGAGUGCCACUGAGGAGCACAGGCCUUCAGGUCUGUAGCCCAUCAGCUGAGCCUUCGCAUCAGCUCCUAGAACAGUGCCUGGCAUAGAGCAACACCCAGAAAUCAUUGUUAAAUGAAAUUAUCCACAAGGGAGUCACCUAGUGUCUACAUGAUAGAAAUUCUUUCCCUGUAGAAUAUAACAUGAAAGGGGGUGUGAAGAAGCCUUCUCUCUCCC
rnacentral:lncRNA from 10 species